rnacentral:rRNA from 1 species
ACCCUGUGAACUAUACCAUUUUGUUCUCGUUGCUUCUGGCAGGCGGCGGCCCUCUCUAGAGGGUGCGGCCUGCCUGCCAGAGGCGGCUUGCACGAACCUUCUAUUUUUUUUUUUACUUACCGUCUGAGUACGAUUUUAAAUCAAAUCAAAACUUUCAACAACGGAUCUCUUGGCUCUGGCAUCGAUGAAGAACGCAGCGAAAUGCGAUAAGUAAUGUGAAUUGCAGAAUUCAGCGAAUCAUCGAAUCUUUGAACGCACAUUGCGCCUGCCAGCAUUCUGGCAGGCAUGCCUGUCCGAGCGUCAUUUCCACCCUCAUGCGCCCUGUCUGCGCGUGGUGUUGGGGCUUGCUCUCCCUGCCCUGGUGCGGGAGAGGCCCUGAAAGCGAGUGGCGGGCCGCCUGGUUGGCUCCGAGCGCAGUAGAAACACACAGUUUUUUUCAUCGCUCUGGACGUCGCCGGCGGCGCCUGCCGUCAAAAGCGCACAAUGACGUGCAACU